rnacentral:rRNA from 1 species
AUUGAACGCUGGCGGCAUGCCUUACACAUGCAAGUCGAACGGGCUUUGGGGCUUGCUCCAAAGUUAGUGGCGAACGGGUGAGUAAUAUAUCGGAACGUACCCUAGAGUGGGGGAUAACUAGUCGAAAGACUGGCUAAUACCGCAUACGAUCUAAGGAUGAAAGUGGGGGACCGCAAGGCCUCAUGCUCAUGGAGCGGCCGACAUCUGAUUAGCUAGUUGGUAGGGUAAAAGCCUACCAAGGCGACGAUCAGUAGCUGGUCUGAGAGGACGAUCAGCCACACUGGGACUGAGACACGGCCCAGACUCCUACGGGAGGCAGCAGUGGGGAAUUUUGGACAAUGGGGGAAACCCUGAUCCAGCAAUGCCGCGUGAGUGAAGAAGGCCUUCGGGUUGUAAAGCUCUUUUGUCAGGGAAGAAACGGUGGGGGCUAAUAUCCUCUGCUAAUGACGGUACCUGAAGAAUAAGCACCGGCUAACUACGUGCCAGCCGCCGCGGUAA